AUUGAACGCUGGCGGAAUGCUUUACACAUGCAAGUCGAACGGUAGAGGGGGCAACCCCUUGAGAGUGGCGAACGGGUGAGUAAUAUAUCGGAACGUGCCCAGUCGUGGGGAUAACGUAGCGAAAGUUACGCUAAUACCGCAUACGAUCUACGGAUGAAAGCGGGGGACUCGCAAGAGCCUCGCGCGAUUGGAGCGGCCGAUAUCAGAUUAGGUAGUUGGUAGGGUAAAGGCUCAUCAAGCCAACGAUCUGUAGCUGGUCUGAGAGGACGACCAGCCACACUGGAACUGAGACACGGUCCAGACUCCUACGGGAGGCAGCAGUGGGGAAUUUUGGACAAUGGACGCAAGUCUGAUCCAGCCAUUCCGCGUGCAGGAUGAAGGCCCUCGGGUUGUAAACUGCUUUUGUACGGAACGAAACGGUGAGCUCUAAUACAGUUUGCUAAUGACGGUACCGUAAGAAUAAGCACCGGCUAACUACGUGCCAGCAGCCGCGGU
rnacentral:rRNA from 1 species